rnacentral:rRNA from 1 species
ACGAACGCUGGCGGCGUGCUUAACACAUGCAAGUCGAACGGAAAGGCCCUGCUUGCAGGGUACUCGAGUGGCGAACGGGUGAGUAACACGUGGGUGAUCUGCCCUGCACUUCGGGAUAAGCCUGGGAAACUGGGUCUAAUACCGGAUAGGAGCCAUUUUUAGUGUGAUGGUUGGAAAGUUUUUUCGGUGUAGGAUGAGCUCGCGGCCUAUCAGCUUGUUGGUGGGGUAAUGGCCUACCAAGGCGGCGACGGGUAGCCGGCCUGGGAGGGUGGACGGCCACAUUGGGGCUGAGAUACGGCCCAGGCUCCGACGGGGGGCAGCAGUGGGGAAUGUUGCACAAUGGGCGCAAGCCUGAUGCAGCGACGCCGCGUGGGGGAUGACGGCCUUCGGGUUGUAAACUCCUUUCGCGAGGGACGAAGCUUUUUGUGACGGUACCUAGAUAAGAAGCACCGGCUAACUACGUG